UGUCUGGCAGAAGAUGGCUGGUCCACACUUGAAAAUACAGCUCUGAGUGGCUCUUUACCAAAGCUGAGUUGACACCAAGAGGAGAGAGGAGCAGGAGGACUCAAUUCUGCUGAGGAGACAUUCACACUUGGGUGGAAACAGCCCCUUCCCUGAUGUCUUCUCAGAAAACAGAGACAGAACUCAGCUCCUGGAGAAGCUGUCCCUCCUGC